rnacentral:lncRNA from 1 species
ACAUCAUUGACUUCUGACGUACAGUAGCUACUCUAUAAAUCCUGUGCUGUAUAUUACAAGAUGUUAGCCUCCUUCUGUCUCCAUCCAGGAACCACAACAUGUCAUUACCUGAGACUUAAAGAGAGAAACGAUAAGCAAUAGCUUGUUAUCCCCCUCCAGGGAAGAUAGGGAGGAAAACAGCAUGUUUGGCUCUACCAGAGCCCUUCCCUGGAUGAUAUUUCACAAGAAUCUUCCCAUACUCCAAAAGUUCUACAGCUGCACCAUUGAGAGCAUCACUGCCUGCACCAUCGAGAGCAUCACUGCCUGCAUCACUGCCUGGUAUGGCAACUGCUCUGGCAUCUGACCAGAGGGUAGUGCGUACGGCCCAGUACACCACUGUGGCCAAGCUUCCUGCAAUCCAGGACCUAUAUAAUAGGCAGUGUCAGAGGAAAUCCCAUAAAAUUGUCAGAGAUUCCAGUCCCCCAAGUCAUAGACUGUUCUCUCUGCUACCGCACGGCAAGCGGUACCGGAGCGCCAAGUCUAGGACCAAAAGGCUCCUUAACAGCUUUUACCCCCAAGCCAUAAGACAGGUGAACAAUUAAUCCACCGGACUAUUACAUUGACCUCCCCCCAUUUGUUUUGUACACUGCUGCUACUCGCUGUUUAUUAUCUAUUCAUAGUUACUUCACCCCUACCUACAUGUACAAAUUACCUCUAACAUGUACCCCCACACACUGACUCGGUACCGGUACCCCCUGUAUAUAGUCUCAUUAUUGUUAUGUUAGUGUUACUUUAAAAAAAAAUGUUUACUUUAGUUUACUUGGUAAAUAUUUUCUUAACUCUUCUUGAACUGCAUUGUUGGUUAAGGGCUUGUAAGUAAGCAUUUCACGGUAACUUGUUGUAUUCGGC